GAUGAACGCUGGCGGCAGGCCUAACACAUGCAAGUCGAGCGAGCGGCGGACGGGUGAGUAAUGUCUGGGAAACUGCCUGAUGGAGGGGGAUAACUACUGGAAACGGUAGCUAAUACCGCAUACCAUCGGCUUUGCCCAGAUGGGAUUAGCUUGUAGGUAAGGUAACGGCUCACCUAGGCGACGAUCCCUAGCUGGUCUGAGAGGAUGACCAGCAACACGGGAACUGAGACACGGUCCAGACUCCUACGGGAGGCAGCAGUGGUGAAUAUUGCACAAUGGGCGCAAGCCUGAUGCAGCCAUGCCGCGUGUAUGAAGAAGGCCUUCGGGUUGUAAAGUACUUUCAGCGGGGAGGCGUUACCCGCAGAAGAAGCACCGGCUAACUCCGUGCCAGCAGCCGCGGUAAUAC
rnacentral:rRNA from 1 species